rnacentral:rRNA from 1 species
CGGUUAGACAAACAGGUCAAAUUAAGUCUGGUCGGUAUAAAAGGAAGUGAAAAUGUUAGUUAUAAAGAAAUUUAAUUUAGUAUGGAGAGGUGGAAUUUGUACAUAAAAAAUUGUAUUAAAUAUUUCUUUGCUUUUGACGCUUCGAAAGUUAAAUGAGAGACCGGGAUUAGAUACCCCGUUAUUUUUUUUAUAAAUUUUGAUUAAUUAUUUAGUUUACCUGAGUAUUACGGGUUGGGGAGUAUGAAAAACAAAUGUAAAAAUUGUUGUGAUAUUUUCCAGGUACUUAAAACUCAAAAAACUUGGCGGUGCCUUAUUUCCUUCCAGGGGAACCUGUCCUGUAAUCGAUGAUCCACGAUUUAGCUUACUUUUUUUUGAAGCUUAUGUAAUAAGUUAUCAGUUUGUAUACCGCCGUCGUCAGAUUACCUUUAAGAGUUAAAAAGUUGUCGGAUAAAAUUGGAGGUACUAAUAAUAAAAUAAUAGUGCCAAUCAACUUUUGAUGUCAGGUCAAGGUGCAGCUUAUAUAAAAGUAGAGAUGGGUUACAAUAUAGAUUUUAUACAAUGAAUACUAGUUUGUAAUAAUUAGGUGAAAGUGGACUUGGGAGUAAUAUAGUUUAUGUAAAAUAAAUUAGGUAGUCUAUGUGAAUAUAGGUACUAAGGUGCGUACACAUCGC